rnacentral:tRNA from 1 species
CCUCUCGUCGUUCAACGGAUAGGACGUCAGCUUGCGGAGCUGGCAAUGCAGGUUCGAUUCCUGCCGAGGGGACUA